UGGGGAAUAUUGCACAAUGGGCGGAAGCCUGAUGCAGCAACGCCGCGUGCGGGAUGACGGCCUUCGGGUUGUAAACCGCUUUCGCCUGUGACGAAGCGUGAGUGACGGUAAUGGGUAAAGAAGCACCGGCUAACUACGUGCCAGCAGCCGCGGUGAUACGUAGGGUGCGAGCGUUGUCCGGAUUUAUUGGGCGUAAAGGGCUCGCAGGUGGUUGAUCGCGUCGGAAGUGUAAUCUUGGGGCUUAACCCUGAGCGUGCUUUCGAUACGGGUUGACUUGAGGAAGGUAGGGGAGGAUGGAAUUCCUGGUGGAGCGGUGGAAUGCGCAGAUAUCAGGAGGAACACCAGUGGCGAAGGCGGUUCUCUGGGCCUUUCCUGACGCUGAGGAGCGGAAGCGUGGGGAGCGAACAGGCUUAGAUACCCUGGUAGUCCACGCUGUAAAGCGGUGGGUACUAGGUGUGGGGGUCCAUUCCACGGGUUCCGCGCCGUAGCUAACGCUUUAAGUACCCCGCCUGGGGAGUACGGCCGCAAGGCUAAAACUCAAAUGAAUUGACGGGGUCAUAGCUGUUUCC
rnacentral:rRNA from 1 species